rnacentral:lncRNA from 1 species
GCACUGGAGGCAGCCACUGCUCAGACAAACAGCAUUAGAAACUUACCAGGUGACUAUGCAAUGGUUUUGCCAAUGUAUUCUUUAUUUUUGGCUUAAGGAGCAAGCUGAGUGCUGAGACUUUACCAGGGCCAGCUUGAGCCUCUUGAAUUGCCUGGUCUGGUUGCACUGCCUCUGAGGAUGGAGAGCUGAAGAAGCUGCUUGCAUUCAGAUUGCAAUCCAGAUGCUUUUUUUGAGACGAGCAUGCAUUAAAUGUUUUUGAGCCAGUCCUGUGAGGUUGGCCCAACCUCCAGAAACAGUUUCCAAGCUUAUUGUCCAGAAUAGUGUGCUCUAAAUAUGCUCUGCUUCCCCCUGCUCUAGCUGGUCUGACCUACUGUGACCGUACAACAGGGUUUUUCUUUCAGCUCAGAAGAGAUUCAUAUUAAGAUCGGUGUUACUUGCACAGUGAAACAGCUUCUUUUUCUUCCUUGUUCCCUGUUACACACCUCCAGUGCCUGUCUCUGUGCUAGAUGAGAGCCUGUGGGGAAUUCAGGGAGUGCAGGUCUGGGCCGUGCAUCACCCUGUCACCAGGACCAAGCUGGGAGAGGCUCCCAUGAGGAGAGUGAUGCUUGUGCCUUGGACCUGCUGCCUCCCAGUCACCUACCGGGAGUUCCCCUCUUCCUGGACAGUCUUCCUGCCUGUGGAGUUCACCUCUGAGCCAGGCCUCCCAUAAUUAAAGCAAGCCUUGCUUUUGACUUUCUGCAAGCUCUGGAUUUCUGCAAGGCCUUUCCAGGACUUGCAGCUUUCCUCCAGCUCAGCCCUUGCAAGCCAAAUGAUGAGGCUUCCAGGGCUUCUCCCGUGGGAUGGCUCCAGUGCAUGCAUCUCACUGUCAGGAAGCUUUUCCUGACACUCAGCCGAAAUUUCCCCCUUUUCAAAUGUCAUCCUGGC